GGAGGGGUGGCCGAGUGGCUGAAGGCGGCGGUUUGCUAAACCGUUGUACGCUGUUAAGGCGUACCGUGGGUUCGAAUCCCAUCCCCUCCGCCA
rnacentral:tRNA from 1 species